rnacentral:rRNA from 1 species
UACGAAGGGGGCUAGCGUUGUUCGGAAUUACUGGGCGUAAAGCGCGCGCAGGCGGUCUUCCAAGUCAGUGGUGAAAGCCCGGAGCUCAACUCCGGAACUGCCAUUGAAACUGUUAGACUUGAGGACGAAAGAGGUGAGUGGAAUUCCCAGUGUAGAGGUGAAAUUCGUAGAUAUUGGGAAGAACACCGGUGGCGAAGGCGGCUCACUGGCUCGUAUCUGACGCUCAGGCGCGAUAGCGUGGGGAUCAAACAGG